rnacentral:misc_RNA from 1 species
AUUUAAUGGUUUAUUAGCUUCUUGUGGGCAUCCACAAAUUACGGAAUGAUCAUGUAAAUAUUUUUUGCAUUUGUGAAGAAAUCUUAAUGCAUGAUAUGAUGUAAAGUGAUACCAUUUGAUAAAGGGCCUGGUGACCUUCCUGGCCUGACCCGUCAGAACCCUCGGCUUGGAUAGAGGGGUUUGGCCCUGCCUGAUUUAGGCUUUCCUCCUAGAUGAGUGGGCCUGAACCAUGGUUUCAAAUUGCGGUCGCAUUCGUAGGUAACGGAAACAGGCAUGUAAUGACCGUAAUGUAACAGUAACGGCUUGGUGUUAUGCAAUUUUUUUUAAAAAAUUUGUAAAGUUCAUAAAAUGACUAGAUAUUGAUAGAUACAAGUAAAACUAAGAUAGACAACUAUAUAAUAAGUACAAGUACAUCAAAUAAAGACAUUAAG